AAAACCCACCUACAUCCAACUAGUUGUGCAAAAAAAUCUACCAGUGUGUUCAGUAAAACUUCACCAGGCAGCUGAUUUGAGAGAUGCUCCAAAGAACAUCAUGCCCAGUCCUUUGGAGGAGGAGGAUGAUGCCUGCAUCUCCCUGUGUGUAACCUGUGUGCAGGGCAGCUGCACAUAACACAUCUGACAGGACUGCAGAGUCCCAGAUACGGGGCACAGACCUGGCUGUCACUGCUCUGGUUGUCACUGUCAUCACUGCACCAGGGAUGGGGACACUGCUGCCCCUGCUCCAGCUCUCACCCGCCCCUUGGCCCUUUACUCUCCUUCAGGGGGGGCAAACAGUUGCGGGAUGGGAGCGCAGUCCCUGGCUCGUUGUGUUCUUCCUCCUCCCUGGAUUUCUCUUCCUUGCUCCUUUUGUCACCUCCCCCCUGCAAUCACCAGCACCAGAUGAUUUAGAAAAGCUCAAGUUAAAAAAAACCCAAAACCUCAAGACCGCCGGAGGCGCAUUUCGGGCUGGAAGAACCCUUGGGCUGACCCCGUGUGGUCAUUCUUAUUUUAGGUUCUUCCUCCUGAUCCAGUUUGUCCCUGUUCUCUCUCGUUUCAGGGCCAGCAGAGAGCGGCAGAGCGCUGGGCUGGGCUGGGCUCAGGUCCGGUUCUGCUGAGCACGAUUUGAGCCUGUGUGCUGCUCCAGUGCACCCCAAGUACAUAGGUUAUUAAACUUGUAACAGUAAUAAUUAACAGAUUAAUUAUAACACAUCAGGUCCACUCGAAUGCAGGUUAUCUUCCCCUUCAACUCCAGCCCCUCCCGUAGCAUCCCUGCUUUCUUGGCCAAUUUGAAUGUUAGGGUAAUUAAGUCACAGUAAAAUAACAUGACUAAUUGCUUCCAGCUCUUUUCUGAAGCUCAUCCUAAUUUCCACUCUUUUCUGCGGCAGAUUAAAUAAACAUGUCUCCUGCACAGCAGG